rnacentral:rRNA from 1 species
AACGAACGCUGGCGGCGUGGGUAAGACAUGCAAGUCGAACGGAGAUCUUGAAUAGCUUGCUAAUUAAGAUCUUAGUGGCGGACGGGUUAGUAACACGUGAGAACCUACCCUUUAGACAGGAAUAGCCCAUGGAAACGUGGAUUAAUGCCUGAUAGUCUCUACGGAGUAAAUGGUGCCUUCGGGUAUCGCUAGAGGAUGGGCUCGCGGCCUAUCAGCUUGUUGGUGAGGUAAAGGCUCACCAAGGCGACGACGGGUAGCUGGUCUGAGAGGACGAUCAGCAACACUGGAACUGAGACACGGUCCAGACACCUACGGGUGGCAGCAGUCGAGAAUCAUUCACAAUGGAGGCAACUCUGAUGGUGCAACGCCGCGUGGAGGAUGACGGUCCUAGGAUUGUAAACUCCUGUCAUUGGGGAGUAAGACUUAAGCGUUAAGAGCGUUUAAGUUUGAUAGUACCCAAAGAGGAAGGGACGGCUAACUUCGUG